rnacentral:rRNA from 1 species
GAUGAACGCUGGCGGCGUGCCUAAUACAUGCAAGUCGAGCGAAUUGACAGAGGUGCUUGCACCUCUCGAUCUUAGCGGCGGACGGGUGAGUAACACGUGGGUAACCUACCUAUAAGACUGGGAUAACUUCGGGAAACCGGAGCUAAUACCGGAUAAUAUUUAGCUUCGCAUGAAGCAAUAGUGAAAGACGGUUCUGCUGUCACUUAUAGAUGGACCUGCGGUGUAUUAGCUAGUUGGUGAGGUAACGGCUCACCAAGGCAACGAUACAUAGCCGACCUGGGAGGGUGAUCGGCCACACUGGGACUGAGACACGGCCCAGACUCCCACGGGAGGCAGCAGUAGGGAAUCUUCCGCAAUGGACGAAAGUCUGACGGAGCAACGCCGCGUGAGUGAAGAAGGUUUUCGGAUCGUAAAACUCUGUUGUAAGGGAAGAACAAGUACGUUAGUAACUGAACGUACCUUGACGGUACCUUACCAGAAAGCCACGGCUAACUACGUGCCAGCAGCCGCAGUAAUAC